rnacentral:rRNA from 1 species
GACAGAGGGUGCAAACGUUGUUCGGAAUUACUGGGCGUAAAGCGAGUGUAGGCGGUUUGGUAAGUCGGAUGUGAAAGCCCCGGGCUCAACCCGGGAAGUGCACUCGAUACUGCCAAGCUAGAGUAUCGGAGAGGUUGGUGGAAUUCUCGGUGUAGAGGUGAAAUUCGUAGAUAUCGAGAGGAACACCGGUGGCGAAGGCGGCCAACUGGACGAAUACUGACGCUGAGACUCGAAAGCGUGGGGAGGCAAACAGG